UACAGAGGGUGCGAGCGUUAAUCGGAAUUACUGGGCGUAAAGCGCGCGUAGGCGGCUUUGCAAGUCGGGUGUGAAAUCCCCAGGCUUAACCUGGUAACUGCAUUCGAGACUGCAUUGCUAGAGUAUGGGAGAGGGAAGUGGAAUUUCCGGUGUAGCGGUGAAAUGCGUAGAUAUCGGAAGGAACACCAGUGGCGAAAGCGACUUCCUGGACCAAUACUGACGCUGAUGUGCGAAAGCGUGGGGAGCGAACAGG
rnacentral:rRNA from 1 species